ACGCUGCCCUCCACACCCGCAUUGUGCCUCGGGCAGCACACGCGCCGCGAAUCGCACUGCCGCAUGCCCCCUCCCCCACCCCAACCUCCACAACGCCCACACCGUGCCUCGGGCCUCCCCCGCGCCGCCCCGCCACCCCCUACGCCCGCACUAUUCCUCGGUCGGAUCCUGUAUGUUGUCCUGGAUCCCAGCCCCACGCCAUCCUUCUACCACCGUGGUCGCCGAGCCAUCUGUGAGAGCAGACCCCGCGCAGGGUGUCUUCACCGAUGGUGUCUCCCUUACCGUCGUCCUUGCCGAAGAAGCCCGCGAGCCCACCCACGGCGCCGGUGGUCUUCACCUCGCCGCCGCCCGCUUGCCCGUGAAGGCUACGCCGCGGCUGUUGCAGGUGCGUCCGCGUGGGGCCCGGAUCCCGUUCAUCGUCCGGAUCUCGUCCAUUGUCCAGGAUCCUGCCUCCGCGCUGUCCUCCUGCCACCACGGUCACCGAGCCAUCUAUGAGAGCAGACCAGCGCAGGGCACCUUCACUGGUGGCGUCUCCGUCGCCGUCAUCCUCGCCUAAGAAGCCUGCGAGCCCACCCACGGCGCCGUGACCGUUGCAGAUGCGGGUGUCGCAGUAAGAGAAGGCGUCCGCGUGGGGUGAAGACCACCGGAUCGGUGUUCAGGUUGUUCUGGAGCGCGCGUGCAGGAAGGAGACCUACUGUGAUUUGUUUGUGAGGUACAAAUAGGAACUUACAUGACCAAUCCACGAAGCCGGCGAAAUAAUCAGAAGCAUGAAGGCUUGACUCCAGCAUGUGGCAAUGAACAGGUGAGGGUCUGGUGAUUAAAAAGUCGGAAGAGAUGUAUUAGUUUUGUCGUGUCAGGUUUGCUUGUGACUUUCAGUUGACUGAAUUAACAGCUUUUUAGAUUGUACAUCGGAUUUCUUUCAUAUGGCCAGACAGCUUAUAUUUUGCUUGGCAGUACGAAGGCUCGCAUGCAGCAGAUCCUAUUUUCUGCAAGAAUUGGUCCUUCCGACUUUGCUGUGGAGUACUAAGCUUCAAAUGUUGGACAAGUUUGCUAAAUGAUGAGCUACAGGAGACCUUAGCUUGAGUUCAGGAAGACUUCCAAGAAGUUCUAUAUAAUAGCGGUAUACUUGGCUUAACUAAAAUUCAGUUGUUGUUCCAUAUAAA